rnacentral:rRNA from 1 species
UGGGGAAUAUUGGACAAUGGGCGAAAGCCUGAUCCAGCCAUGCCGCGUGUGUGAAGAAGGCCUUUUGGUUGUAAAGCACUUUAAGCGAGGAGGAGGCUACUUGGAUUAAUACUCUAGGAUAGUGGACGUUACUCGCAGAAUAAGCACCGGCUAACUCUGUGCCAGCAGCCGCGGUAAUACAGAGGGUGCGAGCGUUAAUCGGAUUUACUGGGCGUAAAGCGUGCGUAGGCGGCUUUUUAAGUCGGAUGUGAAAUCCCUGAGCUUAACUUAGGAAUUGCAUUCGAUACUGGGAAGCUAGAGUAUGGGAGAGGAUGGUAGAAUUCCAGGUGUAGCGGUGAAAUGCGUAGAGAUCUGGAGGAAUACCGAUGGCGAAGGCAGCCAUCUGGCCUAAUACUGACGCUGAGGUACGAAAGCAUGGGGAGCAAACAGGAUUAGAUACCCUGGUAGUCCAUGCCGUAAACGAUGUCUACUAGCCGUUGGGGCCUUUGAGGCUUUAGUGGCGCAGCCAACGCGAUAAGUAGACCGCCUGGGGAGUACGGUCGCAAGACUAAAACUCAAAUGAAUUGACGGGGGCCCGCACAAGCGGUGGAGCAUGUGGUUUAAUUCGAUGC